rnacentral:rRNA from 1 species
CACGUAGGGGACGAGCGUUGUCCGGAUUCAUUGGGCGUAAAGCGCGCGUAGGCGGCCCGGCAAGUCGGAUGUGAAAAUCUGGGGCUCAACCCCAGGCGUGCACCCGAUACUCCCGGGCUGGAGGCAGGUAGGGGAGAUCGGAAUUCCUGGUGUAGCGGUGAAAUGCGCAGAUAUCAGGAGGAACACCGGUGGCGAAGGCGGAUCUCUGGGCCUUGCCUGACGCUGAGGCGCGAAAGCUAGGGGAGCGAACAGG